CCCCUUUUUCCCUUCUCGAGAUCAAUUUAGAGGGGUUUUGGUUUCUAAUCUGCAGGAGUUCUAUAAAUCUCAUAAUAAGUUGUUAAUCCUCUGAAAAUGAAAACCUAAACCCGCAAAUCUCAAAACCACCUUCUCAAUGCUUCCCUAACCAGAAGCUCUGUUAUGCUGAGCCUUUGUUCCUGUUGUUGUUGCGCAUCUCUUCGAUUUCUUCUCGUCAGAAACUCUUUUUGCUCUCGAUCAAUUUUAAAAGGGUAGAACAUUAAUCUUUCAUCAUGUUGGGAUUUUGGUGCGGAAUAUCUCCAAGAAGAUGUUCAAUCUGUUCUGUUUGACAGGAAGAAUAAAUGAUAUUGAUCUGUCUAGGAAGAAGAAAGAACAAUUAGUGUUUAUGUUUAUGUUUGUAUAAGAGUCUGCCUAGAAUGUAUAGGAAUAUCGUAAGAUGCUAUGAUUUAACAUAGGAAGAUUAUUACUCUUUCAGCUCAGGAAAAUGUUCUUAUAGAUAUGUGUUUGAUAAGAAAAGUACAAGGGGAUGUAUGGUUGAAGAUUGAAGGGAGGAUUUUUAUAGUGAAGGUUAAAUAAGUGGGAUUUACAAAGUAUGGUUCAGCGUGAUUCCUCUAUAUCAAAGAAUAGAAAUGGUGAGGCAAUUCAAAUGUGAAGACUUUGCAAGUUCAAUCUGGUGAGGAUGAUGAACAAAGCUUCUCUGGGCCACUAAGUUUUGUUUGAAGGAGAGUUAGAGUGAGUCUAAUGAGAAUUGGACCACAAAAGAAAAGUAAAUCAGAGCUGAGAGAGUGAGAAACAUAGAGGCACAGAACACUAGCUUGAUGAGAAGUUGUAUGAAGAAGACAAAGAUGACUAGAAAAACUCAACUUGAGGGAUGAAGCUGCAAAAAGUGUACGAGAUGGAGAAUUUAAUCGUGCUUUAAAUCUUUCUAUUUGAAAAUGAACUUAGAAACCAUCUCAAGUCUUUGACUUAUAUGCAGUGGAAAUAUAUGUCAGUUUGUUCAAGUUA